CCCGCAGAGCUGGAGAAGAUGUGUCUUAUCAUCCGACUGGCUGAGUCGUUUGAUGGUUUGGGAUCUAGCAGAAAAUAUGUGCUUGAACAACCCCCAAUGGGGGGGCAGCCGAUGAAACACUCGCACAUAACGAUGAAAGCAGAGAGAUGGGCAAUAGCAUUCGGAGGAAAGUGGUGAAGCUGUGCCCCGAAGUGGUUCAUGAUGCCCUUAAAGAAAGGAUGCGGGGGCAGGGAGAAACCUCGGUAGACAUGGCUGAGC
rnacentral:lncRNA from 1 species